rnacentral:rRNA from 1 species
GACGAACGCUGGCGGCGUGCCUAAUACAUGCAAGUCGAGCGAAGUUUUUCUGGUGCUUGCACUAGAAAAACUUAGCGGCGAACGGGUGAGUAACACGUAAAGAACCUGCCUCAUAGACUGGGACAACUAUUGGAAACGAUAGCUAAUACCGGAUAACAGUAUUUCUCGCAUGGGAGAUAUUUAAAAGUUGGUUAUGCUAACACUAUGAGAUGGCUUUGCGGUGCAUUAGCUAGUUGGUGGGGUAAAGGCCCACCAAGGCGACGAUGCAUAGCCAACCUGAGAGGGUGAUCGGCCACACUGGGACUGAGACACGGCCCAGACUCCUACGGGAGGCAGCAGUAGGGAAUCUUCCGCAAUGGGCGAAAGCCUGACGGAGCAACGCCGCGUGAGUGAAGAAGGAUUUCGGUUCGUAAAGCUCUGUUGUUAGGGAAGAAUGGAUAUGUAGUAACUAUACAUGUAAGAGACGGUACCUAACCAGAAAGCCACGGCUAACUACGUG